rnacentral:rRNA from 1 species
AUUGAACGCUGGCGGAAUGCUUUACACAUGCAAGCCGAACGGUAGAGGGGGCAACCCCUCGAGAGUGGCGAACGGGUGAGUAAUAUAUCGGAACGUAUCCAAUAAUGGGGGAUAACUAGUCGAAAGAUUGGCUAAUACCGCAUACGUCCUACGGGAGAAAGCUGGGGAUCGCAAGACCUGGCGUUAAUGGAGCGGCCGAUAUCUGAUUAGCUAGUUGGUGAGGUAAAGGCUCACCAAGGCGACGAUCAGUAGCUGGUCUGAGAGGACGACCAGCCACACUGGAACUGAGACACGGUCCAGACUCCUACGGGAGGCAGCAGUGGGGAAUUUUGGACAAUGGGCGAAAGCCUGAUCCAGCCAUUCCGCGUGAGUGAAGAAGGCCUUCGGGUUGUAAAGCUCUUUCGCAAGGGAAGAACACUUACUUAAUAACACUAAGUGAGGUUGACGGUACCUUGAUAAGAAGCACCGGCUAACUACGUGCCAGCCGCCGCGGUAA